UACGUAGGGGGCAAGCGUUGUCCGGAUUUAUUGGGCGUAAAGAGCGUGUAGGCGGCCAGACAGGUCUGCUGUGAAAACUCGAGGCUCAACCUCGAGACGCCGGUGGAAACCGUCUGGCUAGAGUCCGGAAGAGGAGAGUGGAAUUCCUGGUGUAGCGGUGAAAUGCGCAGAUAUCAGGAAGAACACCCGUGGCGAAGGCGGCUCUCUGGGACGGUACUGACGCUGAGACGCGAAAGCGUGGGGAGCGAACAGG
rnacentral:rRNA from 1 species